CCUACGGGUGGCAGCAGUGGGGAAUCUUCCGCAAUGGGCGAAAGCCUGACGGAGCAACGCCGCGUGAUCGAAUGAAGGCCUUCGGGUUGUAAAGAUCUGUUGACAGGGACGAAUAAGCAAUGCGAAUAGUUUUGUGUAUGACGGUACCUGUUUAGAAAGCUCCGGCUAACUACGUGCCAGCAGCCGCGGUAAUACGUAGGGAGCAAGCGUUGUCCGGAAUUACUGGGCGUAAAGGGCGCGUAGGUGGGCGCUUAAGUCAGGAGUGAAAGCCCGGGGCCCAACCCCGGGACUGCUCUUGGAACUGCAUGGCUGGAGUACAGGAGGGGCAGGCGGAAUUCCUAGUGUAGCGGUGAAAUGCGUAGAUAUUAGGAGGAACACCGGUGGCGAAGGCGGCCUGCUGGACUGUGACUGACGUUGAGGCCCGAAGGCGUGGGGAACAAACAGGAUUAGAUACCCCAGUAGUC
rnacentral:rRNA from 1 species